GGGAUAUGAAGAGUGGUCGGAUCUCGCAGUUCAAAAGAAGAUGCGAGAAGGGUGUUCCGCCCUAACCAGCCUGGUUACGACAACCUGGGCACUCCCAUUCUUUGUACCAUCUGAUCCC
rfam:Punica granatum cultivar Dabenzi scaffold171, whole genome shotgun sequence.